UGCCCCAUGGCUGAGUUGGUUACAGCGUCCGACUGUUACUAACAGAUUCAUCGGAAGGUCGUGAGUUCGAGCCUCACUGGGGCAG
rfam:Peniophora sp. CONT PENSPscaffold_113_Cont181, whole genome shotgun sequence.